rnacentral:rRNA from 1 species
CCUACGGGUGGCAGCAGUGGGGAAUAUUGGGCAAUGGGCGCAAGCCUGACCCAGCAACGCCGCGUGAAGGAAGAAGGCUCUCGGGUUGUAAACUUCUUUUAUCAGGGACGAAGCAAGUGACGGUACCUGUUGAAUAAGCCACGGCUAACUACGUGCCAGCAGCCGCGGUAAUACGUAGGUGGCAAGCGUUAUCCGGAUUUACUGGGUGUAAAGGGCGUGUAGGCGGGACUGCAAGUCAGAUGUGAAAUCCCAGGGCUCAACCUGUGAACUGCAUUUGAAACUGUCGUUCUUGAGUACUGGAGAGGCAGGCGGAAUUCCGAGUGUAGCGGUGAAAUGCGUAGAUAUUAGGAGGAACACCAGUGGCGAAGGCGGUCUGCUGGACAGCAACUGACGCUGAGGCGCGAAAGCGUGGGGAGCAAACAGGAUUAGAUACCCGAGUAGUC